rnacentral:rRNA from 1 species
GACGAACGCUGGCGGCGUGCCUAAUACAUGCAAGUCGAACGCAGUGGGGACGGGUGAGUAACACGUGGGUAACCUCCCAUCAGAGGGGAUAACACUUGGAAACAGAUGCUAAACCGCUACGGCUGGAUGGAACCGCGGUGCAUUAGCUAGUUGGUGAGGUAACGGCUCAACAAGGCCACGAUCGGUAGCUGGUCUGAGAGGACGACCAGCCACACUGGGACUGAGACACGGCCCAGACUCCUACGGUAGGCAGCAGUGGGGAAUUUUGGACAAUGGGGGAAACCCUGAUCCAGCCAUCCCGCGUGUAUGAUGAAGGCCUUCGGGUGGUAAAGUACUUGUGGCAGGGAGGCGGUAUCUGCAGAAUAAGCACCGGCUAACUACGUGCCAGCAGCCGCGGUAAUAC